CUCAAUUGAAAACUUCCAACCCCAAAGGCCUCAUUUUGCUAUUUACCAAUUCACUAAGAAGAGAACGAACAACAAUGAAUGUCUAAAGUUUGCCAAUAUUCCCUAAAUAUUAAAGGGAAAUUUGCAGGAUUAGCCUUCGCUAGGGGUGGUCUUUAAUUUUUACCCCUUAAAAUGGUGGUCUUUAAAUUUUGACCUCGGGCAGAAAUUCUAUCUUAAUAGCAGAAUUCUGCCUGAAAUUCUGCCUUGAGGCAAAUUUUCCCUUACGAUUUUUUUUUAAAAUUGAGCUGGGAUUUGAACCCAUAACCUCGGGGUAUUAAGAGAAGAGCAAAACGUAAAGGCCACCAAUUUGAAGGGUAAAAAUUAAAGACCACCCCAGAUGAAGGCCAAUCCUCGCAAAAAAAAAAAAAGGAAUAUUAAACACAACUCAAAUACUAUUAUUAAUAAAAAAGGGCUACUAGGUGCAAAUCCUACAUAUAAAAACCUGCCGGUUGGGCCCAUUUCUCGAAUAGUGAUUUGCCGAAAGCCCAUGAAUGAUAAGUUCUAGGGUUUCCUUUUAUAUUCCACCAGCCCUCUGUUGCCUUGUUAUUGUGCCGCAUCUCUUCUUCGAUCAAUAGGUCAACAAGUAAAGAGAGUCUCCUUCCGUCCUAGCUGAUUCACCAUGAGAGCCAAGUGGAAGAAGAAGCGUAUGAGGAGAUUGAAGAGGAAGCGCCGAAAGAUGAGACAGAGAUCUAAGUAGAAGAAGCUUAUUUGGCCUUAGGUUAUUGCAGUUUUUUGUGUUUCCUUUUCAGAACUUUGCAGUUAUAUUCUCUAGUGUUUUAGUGCUGAUGGCACCUAAUCAAAUUCUGCUUCUGUGCUCUUUUGAAACUCUGUUAGCAGUUUUCUGGUUAUAAAUCUUAUGAUAUUUACCCCUUUUCACUCGA